AGUUGCCCAUCGCCCUAUCCUACUCUGUGGCUGUGCCAAAGGAGUUUCACCCAUUUUCCUUGCAUGGAUAUGGGCAAAGUGCUAGCGCUUUGCUGAGAAAUAAUGGACAUUCUGCUGAGGUCCGGCUGCAGAACAUCGAAGCCCCCACUGUCCAUGGCGGCGGCUUACCGGGGACUUACCAGCUGGAUCACUUGCAUUUCCAUUGGCAAUCCGAGCAUAUUAUGAGCAAUUAUCGGUUCCCACUAGAACUUCACUUGGUCCAUUUUGAUUAGAAGCAUCGCAAUUUGACGGAGGCUGUGAAACAUCCGCACGGCGUUGCUGUUCUGGGGGUUCGU
rnacentral:lncRNA from 1 species